GAAUGAAGAAAGCAGUAGACUAACCUGUAUCCAUGCUUGCUAAAUUUCCAAGAGGAUUUUUGUGGGAGAGGUGGAGCUGCUAGUGGAACGUCCCAGAUCUUUGGAGGCAGCCUGCAAGACUGCUGGGAAGGACAGAGGAAUGCCUGCCUCUACCACAUAACAUCUUCUGGUGGAUGGGUAGCAUCUUUGAAUAAGGAAUCAAAGAAUUUGCAGGAUUGGUAAAAGAUUUUCAAAGAAAAUUUUGAAGGAAAGCUGCUGUAAAAGUAGAGAAAUCUCAGUCUUGAAACAGAGAGAUGGAAGUGACAGAGCAGAUUUCUGCAUCUACACAUCUUAUGUAAAAGCUAUGAAAGAACAAGCAGUUGUCAGCAAGAGGCUGGUGAAAUUUGAGGAUUCAAUCAUACUCUUGAGACUGCAGAGCGCUGGUGGCUGAGUUAAAGACUGGGGGUUUUCUUAAAGCUGAGUAAGGCCAAACCUUGUCUAGGAAACUCCUGCCGGUUGACCUCAGUGUCCUUCAUGGGUCUGCUGGGCACAGACUAACGUUGCAGAACCUUCCUCUGAACAGCAGGCCUGAAUCUCUUUAUUCCAAGGUUCACUUGGCACAGCAGGCAGGCAGGGCUGGAACUGCCUGGUUCUCAGGCUGCUUUGACUCAUGCGUGGGGGCAGCUGUGGUGGGAUCAGAUGGCUCUGUGCCACAUAUGGACUAGUGCAGCGCAGAGACGUCCUGUGCCACACUGCAUUCCUGCUCCAUCCUCUGUGCCGGCACUGGAGGGAUGUGAUGAGGGAAUAGUAGGGUAAAAGAGCUUUUUACAAGUCAGUAUUAUUCUCCAGCCUGUUUGAGCCUUCCAGGCAAAAUGCCAAGGGAAGAGAAUUAAGUCUGGUGCUUGUCUGUGAAUUUAGCUCAGGAAUUACUUGUGAAGGGAACCUCACUACCGCUGACCUAUUAUGGUGCACAUGGGAAGUUGACACCUUAGAGAAUUCAUUGACCAGCCUGUUUGUUGCAGACUGUUUCAUUCAUGAGCUAUUGAGGGACUGAAAUGGCUUUUAAAACAAAGAGUAUUGAGUAAUAAGCUAGAAGUCGUAGAUGACUGGGACAUAUCUGGCAGUUCUUCCAUGACACUGAAGCUAGAAAUCAUGACACUUCCAGAGCCUGGAAAUCAUAAAUAUUUCCUAGCUAUAUGUGCAUAUUUGGCUAAUGAAUAACAUUCUUUGGGGUUACUUAAAAGUAGCAAUAAACUGUUUUUGAUACUGCUAGAUGAACAUCUAGUACUUUCCACAGAGGACUCACACUCCAAGCCACAGCUGCUGUAAAGGGAAGAGGGCCAGAUUCACUGUGGGUCUUCAGUAACUCUGCUUGGAGAAAAUCACUGUGACUUUGAGAAGAGAACACAGUGAUUACUACACUUUGUAAUAUUUGUAAGUCUACCAGUUCAUUUUCUUUGUGCAAACCUAUGCAACAAGUCUGCCAGCAAAGUCAAAAUAAACAAAUCUUUUAAUUUCUGUGAGAUUAAUUUUUCCCCUUUUUUCCCCUUUAAUAAGGAAUACUUCUAAAAUGUCUUGUUGGUAACUGCUGGAGACCUCAAACCUGUAUGUGGGGCACUGCCAACUUUUUUAUAAAUGUUGCUGUCUGCACAUAUUUCCAGGUAAGUAAUUCAGCCUUAUGUCUGAAUGCAGGAAUUUACUAAUCACAGAUUAACUCUAAUGGAGGUAUGUACCGUUUUCCAUUCAUUAUAUCAAUUCACUAUAUCCUUUGGAUUACUGAUGGUCUCAGUAGAAGUAGAUCUGAAUGUACCCUGGCUGUAUAUUCCCUCUGAGGUGUUAGGGCUGCUGAGUGCUGAGCUAGCUGUGACUUUAAGUGAUAUUAAUUUAACAACCUGAGUAUUGCAGGCUUUCCAUUCUUGUAUACCCUCAGUUCCCUAUGUUUCACUGAAAUCAGUUAAGUCAAAUUAUUUUUUUU